rnacentral:rRNA from 1 species
UACGGAGGGGGCUAGCGUUGUUCGGAAUUACUGGGCGUAAAGCGCACGUAGGCGGCUUUGUAAGUUAGAGGUGAAAGCCUGGGGCUCAACUCCAGAAUUGCCUUUAAGACUGCAUCGCUUGAACGUCGGAGAGGUGAGUGGAAUUCCGAGUGUAGAGGUGAAAUUCGUAGAUAUUAGGAAGAACACCAGUGGCGAAGGCGGCUCACUGGUCCGGUACUGACGCUGAGGUGCGAAAGCGUGGGGAGCAAACAGG